GAUGAACGCUGGCGGCGUGCCUAAUACAUGCAGGUCGAGCGAACGGACGAGAAGCUUGCUUCUCUGAUGUUAGCGGCGGACGGGUGAGUAACACGUGGAUAACCUACCUAUAAGACUGGGAUAACUUCGGGAAACCGGAGCUAAUACCGGAUGAUAUUUUGAACCGCAUGGUUCAAAAGUGAAAGACGGUCUUGCUGUCACUUAUAGAUGGAUCCGCGCUGCAUUAGCUAGUUGGUAAGGUAACGGCUUACCAAGGCAACGAUGCAUAGCCGACCUGAGAGGGUGAUCGGCCACCCUGGAACUGAGACACGGUCCAGACUCCUACGGGAGGCAGCAGUAGGGAAUCUUCCGCAAUGGGCGAAAGCCUGACGGAGCAACGCCGCGUGAGUGAUGAAGGUCUUCGGAUCGUAAAACUCUGUUAUUAGGGAAGAACAUAUGUGUAAGUAACUGUGCACAUCUUGACGGUACCUAAUCAGAAAGCCACGGCUAACUACGUG
rnacentral:rRNA from 1 species